UACGUAGGGUGCGAGCGUUGUCCGGAAUUAUUGGGCGUAAAGAGCUCGUAGGCGGUCUGUCGCGUCUGCUGUGAAAAUCCCGAGGCUCAACCUCGGGCUUGCAGUGGGUACGGGCAGGCUAGAGUGCGGUAGGGGAGAAUGGAACUCCUGGUGUAGCGGUGAAAUGCGCAGAUAUCAGGAGGAACACCGGUGGCGAAGGCGGGUCUCUGGGCCGUAACUGACGCUGAGGAGCGAAAGCGUGGGGAGCGAACAGGA
rnacentral:rRNA from 1 species